rnacentral:rRNA from 1 species
UAAAGAUUCAUCGCUGAUAGAUAGGCAUGCGUUCCAUUAGGCAGUUGGCGGGGUAACGGCCCACCAAACCGACGAUGGAUAGGGGUUCUGAGAGGAAGGUCCCCCACAUUGGUACUGAGACACGGACCAAACCCCUACGGGAGGCAGCAGUGAGGAAUAUUGGUCAAUGGGCGUAAGCCUGAACCAGCCAAGUCGCGUGAGGGAUGAAGGUUCUAUGGAUCGUAAACCUCUUUUAUAAGGGAAUAAAGUGCGGGACGUGUCCCGUUUUGUAUGUACCUUAUGAAUAAGGAUCGGCUAACUCCGUGCCAGCAGCCGCGGUAAUACGGAGGAUCCGAGCGUUAUCCGGAUUUAUUGGGUUUAAAGGGUGCGUAGGCGGCCUUUUAAGUCAGCGGUGAAAGUCUGUGGCUCAACCAUAGAAUUGCCGUUGAAACUGGGAGGCUUGAGUAUGUUUGAGGCAGGCGGAAUGCGUGGUGUAGCGGUGAAAUGCUUAGAUAUCACGCAGAACCCCGAUUGCGAAGGCAGCCUGCCAAGCCAUGACUGACGCUGAUGCACGAAAGCGUGGGGAUCAAACAGGAUUAGAUACCCUGGUAGUCCACGCAGUAAACGAUGAUCACUAGCUGUUUGCGAUACAGUGUAA